rnacentral:rRNA from 1 species
GUAGGUGGCAAGCGUUGUCCGGAAUUAUUGGGCGUAAAGCGCGCGCAGGGCGGUCCUUUAAGUCUGAUGUGAAAGCCCACGGCUCAACCGUGGAGGGUCAUUGGAAACUGGGGGACUUGAGUACAGAAGAGGAAAGCGGAAUUCCAAGUGUAGCGGUGAAAUGCGUAGAGAUUUGGAGGAACACCAGUGGCGAAGGCGGCUUUCUGGUCUGUAACUAACGCUGAGGCGCGAAAGCGUGGGGAGCAAACAGGAUUAGAUACCCUGGUAGUCCACGCCGUAAACGAUGAGUGCUAAGUGUUAGGGGGUUUCCGCCCCUUAGUGCUGCAGCUAACGCAUUAAGCACUCCGCCUGGGGAGUACGGCCGCAAAGGCUG